UACGAAGGGGGCUAGCGUUGCUCGGAAUCACUGGGCGUAAAGGGUGCGUAGGCGGGUCUUUAAGUCACGGGUGAAAUCCUGGAGCUCAACUCCAGAACUGCCUUUGAUACUGAGGAUCUUGAGUUCGGGAGAGGUGAGUGGAACUGCGAGUGUAGAGGUGAAAUUCGUAGAUAUUCGCAAGAACACCAGUGGCGAAGGCGGCUCACUGGCCCGAUACUGACGCUGAGGCACGAAAGCGUGGGGAGCAAACAGG
rnacentral:rRNA from 1 species